UACGUAGGGGGCAAGCGUUAUCCGGAAUUACUGGGUGUAAAGGGAGCGUAGACGGUAAUGUAAGUCUGGAGUGAAAGGCGGGGGCCCAACCCCCGGACUGCUCUGGAAACUAUGUUACUAGAGUGCAGGAGAGGUAAGCGGAAUUCCUAGUGUAGCGGUGAAAUGCGUAGAUAUUAGGAGGAACACCAGUGGCGAAGGCGGCUUACUGGACUGUAACUGACGUUGAGGCUCGAAAGCGUGGGUAUCGAACAGG
rnacentral:rRNA from 1 species